GACGAACGCUGGCGGCGUGCCUAAUACAUGCAAGUAGAACGCUGAAGGAGGAGCUUGCUUCUCUGGAUGAGUUGCGAACGGGUGAGUAACGCGUAGGUAACCUGCCUGGUAGCGGGGGAUAACUUUUGGAAACGAUAGCUAAUACCGCAUAAGAGUAGAUGUUGCAUGACAUUUGCUUAAAAGGUGCAAUUGCAUCACUACCACAUGGACCUGCGUUGUAUUAGCUAGUUGGUGGGGUAACGGCUCACCAAGGCGACGAUACAUAGCCGACAUGAGAGGGUGAGCAGCCAGACUGAGACUGAGACACGGCACAUACGGAUACGGGAGGCAGCAGGAGGGAAACGGGGGGAAUGGACGGAAGUCAGACCGAGCAACGCCGCGGGAGUGAAGAAGGUUGUCGGAUCGUAAAGCACGGUUGUAAGAGAAGAACGAGUGUGAGAGUGGAAAGUACAGACUGUGACGGUAACUUACCAGAAAGGGACGGCUAACUACGUG
rnacentral:rRNA from 1 species